GACGCGGGCCGGACUCCGCCACCUGUCGGCCCGUCGGGGCGCCCACUCCCACGUCCCGGGCACCCGCAGACACCCCUCACCCCCGGGCGACGCGCGGAGCCUCUACGGCUCGCGGAGGAGGCGGGGAUCCAGCCGCGCCGCCGAGGGGGACGGGCGCGCAAGUCCAGGGCGGGCGUCCCGGGAGCCCCUCACCUCCGAGGAGUUUCGGGGAGCGAAGCGCGGGACCGGGUGGGGGUGCCCAGGUUUCAGUGAUAGAAGCAAAGAACUAAAUUCAAGUGAUAUUUCAUAUUCUAUCUACAAUGUGAUAAAACUAAGAAAAUUUUGGGUCAGGGAUUUAACUCAGUGGCACUGCACCUACCUGGCAAGUGCGAGGUCCUGAGUUUGAUUCCCAGUACCAAAAAAAACUAAGAAAAUUUUAAUCAUCUGGAAAAGAUUAUUCAAAACAAUCCCUUUGGUUUAAUUCUCUAAAUUUUAGCUACUCACUUGAUAGGAGCCAUUGCAACUACCAAUAAAAGGCCUUACACUUAGAAAUGCAAAUAAUAUAUAUUAAUAUAUAAAUAAUUUUCAGAUCCAUUGGUAAAUGAUGUUAAAUGAAUAAAUACAGUUAAUAAAGAUUUUGUUUUGAUAGUUUAGCUUGCCUUCCUAGCUGUAGAGUUCAAAAUUAGUAGAUGAAAGUCUUUGUAAAUAGGGAAGGGUGGGGGAGGUGAAGGGAGGGCAGGGGAAUG
rnacentral:lncRNA from 1 species